rnacentral:misc_RNA from 1 species
GCAAACUUGGUCAUUUAGAGGAAGUAAAAGUCGUAACAAGGUUUCCGUAGGUGAACCUGCGGAAGGAUCAUUCAUAAUAGAGUGUUUUAUGGCACUCUAAAAAAAAAUCCAUAUCCACCUUGUGUGAAAUGUUAAUCCUUGUCAAUCGAACUUCUUAAUGAAGGGAGGUAGAUGAGGUAUUUUAUAUAUCAACUCUUUUCAUUAUUAUUAUUAUUUAUUUGUCUGUAAAACGUUAUGAAUUUACUUAAUUCAAAACACAACUUUCAACAACGGAUCUCUUGGCUCUCGCAUCGAUGAAGAACGCAGC